CCUACGGGAGGCAGCAGUGAGGAAUAUUGGUCAAUGGUCGGAAGCCUGAACCAGCCAAGUCGCGUGAGGGAAUAAGGCCCUACGGGUCGUAAACCUCUUUUGCCGGGGAGCAAGGGCUGGGACGUGUCCCGGCCCGGAGAGUACCCGGAGAAAAAGCAUCGGCUAACUCCGUGCCAGCAGCCCCGGUAAUACGGAGGAUGCGAGGUUUAUCCGGUUUUAUUGGGUUUAAAGGGGGCGUAGGCGGGCUUUUAGUUCAGCGGUAAAAAUUCGGGGCUCAACCCCGUCCGGCCGUUGAAACUGGGUGCCUUGAGUGAGGUAGAGGUUGGCGGAAUUCCGGGUGUAGCGGUGAAAUGCGUAGAUAUUCGGAGGAACACCGGUGGCGAAGGCGGCCAACUGGGCUUUAACUGACGCUGAGGCUCGAAAGUGUGGGGAGCAAACAGGAUUAGAUACCCCAGUAGUC
rnacentral:rRNA from 1 species